AACGCACAUUGCGCUCUUUGGUAUUCCGGAGAGCAUGCCUGUUUGAGAAUCAGUAAAUUCAUCAAACCUUUUGGGUGCCCCUUGUGGGUUGCUCCGGGGGGUUUGGAUAUGGGCCAUUUGCUGUCCCCUUCGGAGGAUGACAACGGCCUGAAAUGAAGUGUUAUUGGCACCCACCGCACACAAAAGGCGAUGGGCAUACGCAUGAAUGAGGAAACUCAGAAAUACGUGUGUCGGCGCCCCAAAUGUGCACGUGGUGUUUGGUAACUCACCAAGUUUACACAGGACUUGCGGACGUCAGUCGGCUUGUUCUGAACACUUGGUCUCAAAUCAGGUAGGAAAACCCGCUGAACUUAA
rnacentral:misc_RNA from 1 species